rnacentral:rRNA from 1 species
CAGUCGCCGCGGUAAUACGGAGGGAGCUAGCGUUGUUCGGAAUUACUGGGCGUAAAGCGCGCGUAGGCGGUUACUCAAGUCAGAGGUGAAAGCCCGGGGCUCAACCCCGGAACUGCCUUUGAAACUAGGUGACUAGAAUCUUGGAGAGGUCAGUGGAAUUCCGAGUGUAGAGGUGAAAUUCGUAGAUAUUCGGAAGAACGCCAGUGGCGAAGGCGACUGACUGGACAAGUAUUGACGCUGAGGUGCGAAAGCGUGGGGAGCAAACAGGAUUAGAUACCCGUGUAGUCCCUGUCUCUUAUAC